AGAGAGGGCACUGGACUCACAGAGGGCUGCCUGGUGUCAGUGGAUGACUUACAGAACCAUGUGGAGCACUUUGGGGAGGAGGAGCAGAAGGAACUACGAGUAGACGUGGAUACAUUCUUGCAGUACUGGCCACCACAGAGCCAGCAGUUCAGCAUGCAGUACAUCUCACACAUCUUUGGCGUGAUCAACUGCAAUGGUUUCACACUCAGUGACCAGAGAGGGCUACAGGCAGUGGGCGUGGGCAUCUUCCCCAACCUGGGCCUGGUGAACCAUGACUGCUGGCCAAACUGGACUGCCUCUCUAAAGAUCUGAGGAAGAAAACUAUGGCUAGAACUCCACCAUGGCCAGAAGGAUUUUCCUACAAAGCACUUUAUCUGCAGAGUGUAAACCUGUCAUUAAGCACCUGCUGUCUGCUGGGUCAAGUUCAAACUCCUUUCCAAAGUCAAAAGAUUCUCUGCAGAUAACUUGGCUCUGUCUCGGUCUCCUCUCUUGUAUGCCCUUUCACCUUACCUGCUCACAAAAUAAAUACCCUUGGAUGCUC
rnacentral:lncRNA from 1 species